rnacentral:rRNA from 1 species
GAUGAACGAUGGAGGCGUGCCUAAUACAUGCAAGUCGAGCGAACGGACGAGAAGCUUGCUUCUCUGAUGUUAGCGGCGGACGGGUGAGUAACACGUGGAUAACCUACCUAUAAGACUGGGAUAACUUCGGGAAACCGGAGCUAAUACCGGAUGAUAUUUUGAACCGCACGGUUCAAAAGUGAAAGACGGUCUUGCUGUCACUUAUAGAUGGAUCCGCGCUGCAUUAGCUAGUUGGUAAGGUAACGGCUUACCAAGGCAACGAUGCAUAGCCGACCUGAGAGGGUGAUCGGCCACACUGGAACUGAGACACGGUCCAGACUCCUACGGGAGGCAGCAGUAGGGAAUCUUCCGCAAUGGGCGAAAGCCUGACGGAGCAACGCCGCGUGAGUGAUGAAGGUCUUCGGAUCGUAAAACUCUGUUAUUAGGGAAGAACAUAUGUGUAAGUAACUGUGCACAUCUUGACGGUACCUAAUCAGAAAGCCACGGCUAACUACGUG